rnacentral:pre_miRNA from 1 species
AACAGAAUUGCUGGGUCAUAUGGUAACUUUACAUGGAAUCUUUUGAAGAACUGCCAACCUGCUCUCCACAGCCACUGCACCAUUUUUCCUUCUCAUCAGCAAU